rnacentral:rRNA from 1 species
ACCCGCACAAGCGGUGGAUGAUGUGGUUAAUUCGAUGCAACGCGAAAACCUUACCACCUUUGACAUGUACGGAACCCUUUAGAGAUAGAGGGGUGCUCGAAAGAGAGCCGUAACACAGGUGCUGCAUGGCUGUCGUCAGCUCGUGUCGUGAGAUGUUGGGUUAAGUCCCGCAACGAGCGCAACCCUUGUCAUUAGUUGCUACAUUCAGUUGGGCACUCUAAUGAGACUGCCGGUGACAAGCCGGAGGAAGGUGGGGAUGACGUCAAGUCCUCAUGGCCCUUAUAGGUGGGGCUACACACGUCAUACAAUGGCUGGUACAAAGGGUUGCCAACCCGCGAGGGGGAGCCAAUCCCACAAAGCCGAUCGUAGUCCGGAUCGCAGUCUGCAACUCGACUGCGUGAAGUCGGAAUCGCUAGUAAUCGUGGAUCAGCAUGUCACGGUGAAUACGUUCCCGGGUCUU